GGAAGGUUCCUGGUUUGUUGUAUCUGAAAAUCCAUUCAGAUGUGGGAACAAGAAUUUUGUGAAUGCACAGGAGGCCUGUCAUUCUUGCUUUGCUUAUUGUGGGAUGACAGCCCAUGUGUGAGUUAUCAGUCAAGUCCCCGCAAGCUAACUUCUCCUGUGGUCUGCAGUGUGGGAAACUGGCCAGAGAGAUCCCAGGGUGCGGUUGCAGUAUGGAGGAGAGGAUUUCUGUCGGGUCUGAUGAAUCUGGAGUCAAGCAUUUACCCUGAUAUUGGAAAGUUUCCAAGAGAUCUCGGCUCCGUCGUUGGCAGAACAGACAAAAUAUCCAGCCCAGCUAGAUCCAGUUCUGGAGGAUUCUGAACAACUUCCAAUGACCAGAUCUGUUUGUAGGACUGGAGGAAUAUGGUGGAGAACAUAAUCAGAAUAGAGAGGAAAAUAAGGUGAAGGGUAAGUGCAUGAUA
rnacentral:lncRNA from 1 species